rnacentral:rRNA from 1 species
GAUGAACGCUAGCUACAGGCUUAACACAUGCAAGUCGAGGGGAAACGAUAUUGGGAGCUUGCUUCCGAUAGGCGUCGACCGGCGCACGGGUGAGUAACGCGUAUCCAACCUGCCCAUCACUUGGGGAUAACCUUGCGAAAGUAAGACUAAUACCCAAUGACGUCUCUAGAAGACAUCUGAAAGAGAUUAAAGAUUUAUCGGUGAUGGAUGGGGAUGCGUCUGAUUAGCUUGUUGGCGGGGUAACGGCCCACCAAGGCGACGAUCAGUAGGGGUUCUGAGAGGAAGGUCCCCCACAUUGGAACUGAGACAUGGUCCAAACUCCUACGGGAGGCAGCAGUGAGGAAUAUUGUUCAAUGGACGAGAGUCUGAACCAGCCAAGUAGCGUGCAGGAAGACGGCCCUAUGGGUUGUAAACUGCUUUUAUAAGGGAAUAAAGUGAGUCUCGUGAGACUUUUUGCAUGUACCUUAUGAAUAAGGACCGGCUAAUUCCGUGCCAGCAGCCGCGGUAA